UACGUAGGGGGCAAGCGUUAUCCGGAUUUACUGGGUGUAAAGGGAGCGUAGGUGGAUUGUUAAGUCAGUUGUGAAAGUUUGCGGCUCAACCGUAAAAUUGCAGUUGAAACUGGCAGUCUUGAGUACAGUAGAGGUGGGCGGAAUUCGUGGUGUAGCGGUGAAAUGCGUAGAUAUCAGGAGGAACACCAGUGGCGAAGGCGGCUUACUGGACUGUAACUGACGUUGAGGCUCGAAAGCGUGGGGAGCAAACAGG
rnacentral:rRNA from 1 species